GGGGAUAGCCUUUCGAAAGAAAGAUUAAUAUCCGAUAGCAUAUCAAGAUCGCACGAUCUUGAUAUUAAAGAAUUUCGGUUAUCGAUGGGGAUGCGUUCCAUUAGUUAGUUGGCGGGGUAACGGCCCACCAAGACGACGAUGGAUAGGGGUUCUGAGAGGAAGGUCCCCCACAUUGGAACUGAGACACGGUCCAAACUCCUACGGGAGGCAGCAGUGAGGAAUAUUGGUCAAUGGACGAGAGUCUGAACCAGCCAAGUAGCGUGAAGGAUGACUGCCCUAUGGGUUGUAAACUUCUUUUAUAUGGGAAUAAAACAGGGUAUGCAUACCCUCUUGUAUGUACCAUAUGAAUAAGGAUCGGCUAACUCCGUGCCAGCAGCCGCGGUAAUACGGAGGAUCCGAGCGUUAUCCGGAUUUAUUGGGUUUAAAGGGAGCGUAGGUGGAUUGUUAAGUCAGUUGUGAAAGUUUGCGGCUCAACCGUAAAAUUGCAGUUGAAACUGGCAGUCUUGAGUACAGUAGAGGUGGGCGGAAUUCGUGGUGUAGCGGUGAAAUGCUUAGAUAUCACGAAGAACUCCGAUUGCGAAGGCAGCUCACUGGACUGCAACUGACACUGAUGCUCGAAAGUGUGGGUAUCAAACAGGAUUAGAUACCCUGGUAGUCCACACAGUAAACGAAGAA
rnacentral:rRNA from 1 species